AAGGGAGCCAAAAAAUGCCUUCGCGGUUAUCAAAGAUUCUGGGUAUGCCACUGCCACCAAUAUAUGCCUCGUAUACAAAUAAGAAGUCGUGAUUAUACACGUACUACGAGUCAUAUCUCGUUUACCACCGGCGGUAAGCGAGAUAUGACUCGUAGUAUGUACCACUCACUCACUCGUGGUACGUACUUCUCACUCAUGGUAUCAACGGUUCUCGACGCGUACCACCGGUUGAAAACCGUCGAUAUAGAACAGCGUUACUCAAACUGUGUUCCACGAAACUCUGGGGUUCCACAAAAUAUCCUAAAGAGUUCCAUAAACAUGCAUAAAAUAUUCAUCAAAAUGAUGAAAAUAAAGUUAUUUUGAUGAAAAUAACUUUAUUUUGUAAUACUUUUUUAACUUUUAUUAUAAUAUAAUAAAAGAAUAUUAAAA
rnacentral:lncRNA from 1 species